rnacentral:rRNA from 1 species
UACGUAGGGUGCAAGCGUUGUCCGGAAUUAUUGGGCGUAAAGAGCUCGUAGGCGGUUUGUCGCGUCUGCUGUGAAAACUCGGGGCUUAACUCCGGGCCUGCAGUGGGUACGGGCAGACUAGAGUGCGGUAGGGGAGACUGGAAUUCCUGGUGUAGCGGUGAAAUGCGCAGAUAUCAGGAGGAACACCAAUUGCGAAGGCAGCUCGCUGGGACGUAACUGACGCUGAGACGCGAAAGCGUGGGGAGCAAACAGG